rnacentral:rRNA from 1 species
AGUGAACGCUGGCGGUAGGCCUAACACAUGCAAGUCGAACGGCAGCACAGUAAGAGCUUGCUCUUACGGGUGGCGAGUGGCGGACGGGUGAGGAAUACAUCGGAAUCUACUUUUUCGUGGGGGAUAACGUAGGGAAACUUACGCUAAUACCGCAUACGACCUACGGGUGAAAGCAGGGGAUCUUCGGACCUUGCGCGAUUGAAUGAGCCGAUGUCGGAUUAGCUAGUUGGCGGGGUAAAGGCCCACCAAGGCGACGAUCCGUAGCUGGUCUGAGAGGAUGAUCAGCCACACUGGAACUGAGACACGGUCCAGACUCCUACGGGAGGCAGCAGUGGGGAAUAUUGGACAAUGGGCGCAAGCCUGAUCCAGCCAUACCGCGUGGGUGAAGAAGGCCUUCGGGUUGUAAAGCCCUUUUGUUGGGAAAGAAAAGCAGCAGGUUAAGACCCCGCUGUUCUGACGGUACCCAAAGAAUAAGCACCGGCUAACUGCGU